rnacentral:rRNA from 1 species
UACAGAGGCCUCAACCGUUGUUCGGAAUCACUGGGCGUAAAGGGUGCGUAGGCGGCUUGGUAAGUCAGAUGUGAAAUCCCGGGGCUCAACCUCGGAAUUGCAUCCGAUACUGCCUUGCUAGAGGACUGGAGAGGAGUCUGGAAUUCACGGUGUAGCAGUGAAAUGCAUAGAUAUCGUGAGGAACACUAGUGGCGAAGGCGAGACUCUGGACAGUAUCUGACGCUGAGGCACGAAGGCCAGGGGAGCGAACGGG